CAGCCGCCGCGGUAAUACCGGCGGCCCGAGUGGCGGUCACUAUUAUUGGGCUUAAAGCGUCCGUAGCCGGGUUGGGAAGUCCUCCGGGAAAUCUGGCCGCUUAACGGUCAGAAUGCCGGAGGAUACUCCCAGCCUAGGGAGCGGGAGAGGCCGAGGGUAUUCCCGGAGUAGGGGUGAAAUCCUAUAAUCCCGGGAGGACCACCUGUGGCGAAGGCGCUCGGCGGGAACGCGUCCGACGGUGAGGGACGAAGGCCAGGGGAGCAAACCGGAUUAGAUACCCGGGUAGUCCUGGCUGUAAACGAUGCGGACUUUGUGUCGGACAAGCUAUGAGCUUGUCCGGUGCCGGAGGGAAACCGUUAAGUCCGCCGCCUGGGGAGUACGGCCGCAAGGCUGAAACUUAAAGGAAUUGGCGGG
rnacentral:rRNA from 1 species